rnacentral:sRNA from 4 species
GUUUGCACUUGUCGGGGAAGGGUGAGAACCUUCGAUUAAGGUUCGACUCGAGCGAAAGCGAGAGAACGUUGCCAACGGCAACGGCCCGUAGGGUGAGGAGCGAAGCGACGAAUAAUCCUUCCCCCAUCACCA